CUCAGCUAUCUUCUUAAUUUUAGCUAACCGACUAUGAGGCUAUGAACUUAAAUACCAGUACAAGAGCUGGAUAUGAGAUUGGUCAGAGUCUCCGCUUGAACUACCCGAACGCACAAGACGAUCCGGGAAGCAAUGGAUUAUCUCCCUUAUACCGGCCUUCCUGCAUUGCUCAUUAUAAAUUUCUAACGGGAGCUUUUAGCCUUAUCCCAAUGGGAUCCCUAUUCUCAAAUUUCACGAGGCAUACCACAGACGGUUCGGUUACUAUCUUCAUCCUAAGGACUGUAAUUGACAGUGUAGUUAAAGCGGGCUGUGGUCUGUAUCAUCUUGGUCCUGUGUUCAGCCUGCGACCCACAUGACUGUAUAGGCUCUGGAUGGGGCUGGCAAAACUAUUUGUUCAGUUCUAUACAGGAUAAAUUUGAAAGAAACUGAACGAGUUCAAAUGCAUUUUAAAGGAACGACAGAAGGCACAAUUCCAAAAAACCAGAAGAAGGCUCCAGCAUGCAUUAAAGACAUUUUGCCUGGAUAAAAUGGUUCUAAGGAUACUAAGUCUUCUCUGAUGUUUACAAAGAUCAUCAUAUGCAAGGAAGUUAACAUCUCGUACGAAGCAUCGUAAUAUCCUGUAUAAGUGAUCCUGUCCCUGUCUAAGUAUUUGAACAAAUACA